ACCUACGGGAGGCAGCAGUCGGGAAUAUUGCGCAAUGGAGGAAACUCUGACGCAGUGACGCCGCGUGCAGGAAGAAGGUUUUCGGAUUGUAAACUGCUUUAGACAGGGAAGAAACAAGACAGUACCUGUAGAAUAAGCUCCGGCUAACUACGUGCCAGCAGCCGCGGUAAUACGUAGGGAGCAAGCGUUAUCCGGAUUUACUGGGUGUAAAGGGGGCGCAGACGGCAGCGCAAGCCAGGAGUGAAAGCCCGGGGCCCAACCCCGGGACUGCUCUUGGAACUGCGCGGCUGGAGUGCAGGAGGGGC
rnacentral:rRNA from 1 species